rnacentral:rRNA from 1 species
GACGAACGCUGGCGGCGUGCUUAGCACAUGCAAGUCGAACGCUGAAGCCUGGUGCUUGCACUGGGUGGAUGAGUGGCGAACGGGUGAGUAAUACGUGAGUAACCUGCCCUUGACUCUGGGAUAAGCCUGGGAAACUGGGUCUAAUACUGGAUACGACAUGUCACCGCAUGGUGGUGUGUGGAAAGGGUUUUACUGGUUUUGGAUGGGCUCACGGCCUAUCAGCUUGUUGGUGGGGUAAUGGCUCACCAAGGCGACGACGGGUAGCCGGCCUGAGAGGGUGACCGGCCACACUGGGACUGAGACACGGCCCAGACUCCUACGGGAGGCAGCAGUGGGGAAUAUUGCACAAUGGGCGGAAGCCUGAUGCAGCGACGCCGCGUGAGGGAUGACGGCCUUCGGGUUGUAAACCUCUUUCAGCACGGAAGAAGCGAAAGUGACGGUACGUGCAGAAGAAGCGCCGGCUAACUACGUG